GACGAACGCUGGCGGCGUGCCUAAUACAUGCAAGUAGAACGCUGAAGAGAGGAGCUUGCUCUUCUUGGAUGAGUUGCGAACGGGUGAGUAACGCGUAGGUAACCUGCCUGGUAGCGGGGGAUAACUAUUGGAAACGAUAGCUAAUACCGCAUAAAAUUGAUUAUUGCAUGAUAAUUAAUUGAAAGAUGCAAUUGCAUCACUACCAGAUGGACCUGCGUUGUAUUAGCUAGUUGGUGAGGUAACGGCUCACCAAGGCGACGAUACAUAGCCGACCUGAGAGGGUGAUCGGCCACACUGGGACUGAGACACGGCCCAGACUCCUACGGGAGGCAGCAGUAGGGAAUCUUCGGCAAUGGGGGGAACCCUGACCGAGCAACGCCGCGUGAGUGAAGAAGGUUUUCGGAUCGUAAAGCUCUGUUGUAAGAGAAGAACGGGUGUGAGAGUGGAAAGUUCACACUGUGACGGUAUCUUACCAGAAAGGGACGGCUAACUACGUGCCAGCAGCCGCGGUAAUACGUAGGUCCCGAGCGUUGUCCGGAUUUAUUGGGCGUAAAGCGAGCGCAGGCGGUUAGAUAAGUCUGAAGUUAAAGGCUGUGGCUUAACCAUAGUAUGCUUUGGAAACUGUUUAACUUGAGUGCAGAAGGGGAGAGUGGAAUUCCAUGUGUAGCGGUGAAAUGCGUAGAUAUAUGGAGGAACACCGGUGGCGAAAGCGGCUCUCUGGUCUGUAACUGACGCUGAGGCUCGAAAGCGUGGGGAGCAAACGGGAUUAGAUACCCUGGUAGUCCACGCCGUAAACGAUGAGUGCUAGGUGUUAGGCCCUUUCCGGGGCUUAGUGCCGCAGCUAACGCAUUAAGCACUCCGCCUGGGGAGUACGACCGCAAGGUUGAAACUCAAAGGAAUUGACGGGGGCCCGCACAAGCGGUGGAGCAUGUGGUUUAAUUCGAAGCAACGCGAAGAACCUUACCAGGUCUUGACAUCCCUCUGACCGCUCUAGAGAUAGAGUUUUCCUUCGGGACAGAGGUGACAGGUGGUGCAUGGUUGUCGUCAGCUCGUGUCGUGAGAUGUUGGGUUAAGUCCCGCAACGAGCGCAACCCCUAUUGUUAGUUGCCAUCAUUCAGUUGGGCACUCUAGCGAGACUGCCGGUAAUAAACCGGAGGAAGGUGGGGAUGACGUCAAAUCAUCAUGCCCCUUAUGACCUGGGCUACACACGUGCUACAAUGGCUGGUACAACGAGUCGCAAGCCGGUGACGGCAAGCUAAUCUCUGAAAGCCAGUCUCAGUUCGGAUUGUAGGCUGCAACUCGCCUACAUGAAGUCGGAAUCGCUAGUAAUCGCGGAUCAGCACGCCGCGGUGAAUACGUUCCCGGGCCU
rnacentral:rRNA from 1 species